rnacentral:lncRNA from 1 species
AUUAUUUCUUACUGCUCUCACUUGAUGUAGGAAACUCAAGGCAAGGAAUGUUAAACAGCUUUUCCGGGUCACAGACCUAGAGUGGUGGGAUAUAGGAAAUUAAACUCAGGUCAGCUUGAAAUCAAUGACCUUGAUGAAUCAGUUGAUUGAGGACACUGAAUCCCUCCUUUCUCUUCUAUGCAGAGCAGUUUAAAGCCAAUUUUUCUUUUUUGCUUGUACCCCACUUUACCUAAAAAAGACAACAUCUUUAUUACCAGGCGUAGCUCUGUAGUCGGAACCACCCGUGACUACUAGACGAUUUGAAAGGAACCAAGCUUAGUUCCAGCAGGGGGCGCUGUAAGAAGCUGAGCAACGCCCUUGUCCCCUGGGCCCCGUCCGGGGCAACCUCAUCUCCACGUAAGGAGAUGCAAGCUUUCACCAUAGUCGUCACCUGCCAGAUCCCAAGGCAGCAGCGACCCUUCUUGGUGACCUGAUGGCGGUGGGGAUGGCCUCCGAGAGCCUGGACAUAGUGGCUCCCUGUUUUCCAUCAGGCUGCGGUGUGGUGGGGAGAAAAGAAGGGUGGCAUCCUCAAUGCCUCCUAACGGCCACCGUGAGGGUCCCCAGGGCUGGAGCUUGGUUACCUCGGCCCCAGGCGUACGGCUGCACAGAUCGGGCUCUGGGCGACCGCUGUGCUCCAUCUGAACGAGAUGCCACCGUGUCCCAACAAUGACAGACGAAGACCUCACGGGUCCUGAAGGUGAAUGGAGCCUCGUACGGUGCCGAGGUCAGAGGCCAUCGGGCUUGGUUCCACUGGACCUUAAUAUUGGAAGCCAAAAGAGGCACAUCACGGCUUUCUUGUGCUUAGGAACACUGGGCAGCACUUUGGCACUGUGUUUGGGAGCCAUUUUAAACAGUGAAAUAACCAAUAAAAGCACAAAAAUGAGAAAACUGUGGCACUAAAUAGACUGUGAAAAGGACACUUGCUUAUAGGAUGAGUUGAAACAAGAAGGCGAGCCUCGCCGUGUUCCACCUCCGCUGGGAAUGUGUCCAUUGGGUGACUCACUGCUCUGUAUGUGUCUGUGAAAGACCGUGGAAGUGCAAGGUGCCCUUCAUUAUGGCUCAACAUUGCUCACUCUACUCUGCCUCCUAAGCCAUUACUUCUCUUUAUACCUAUAAUUAAAAGUAGACACAGUUUCAAGAAUGAAGUCAAGUUGAAUUCUUCAGAGAACUCAAGACAAAUAAGGUGCCUGCGUCCUGAUGCUUCGCUUCCUUGGGAGUGGAGGGAGGAGCCAUCGCAGUCCUUUCCUGCAUAAUGAUUCCAUUUUGGACUAUCUUAAGCUCUCAAAGAAAUUCCACAAUACCGAACUCCGAAAGAGAAGGUGGUUAAGAUGCUAUGAUUCCUUUUUUUACAAGAAAUUCUUUUUAAGAUUUUUAAGCAAAGAUUCCCAUUGUUUCUCUAGUAGCAACCAGGAACAAAUAGUGAGCAAUAUUGGGAAGAGGAUGUCUGUGCCAAAUUAAAAACAGCAUCUAUUAUGUUUCUAUGUAAUGUAUUAUGUGGCUGUAAUACUGCCUUUUUACAAAUACUGGCAUUUUGAAAACUGUAAGAAAUUAAACUUUGUUCACUCUUAAAUAUGAAUUUGAUUUUAAGGAAAUUACUUAUUUAGAAAGUAGGGGUUAACAAAAAACCCCCACGUUUAUUGAGUUGUGGGUUAAAUUUUCCCCUAAUCUUGGCAAGUGGCAGUACACCAAUAUCUUAGUCUAUUUCUGGCUAUUUAUUGGCGCCUACAAAUACACUCCAGUAUUCC